GACGAACGCUGGCGGCGUGCUUAACACAUGCAAGUCGAACGGAAAGGCCUCUUUCGGGGGGUACUCGAGUGGCGAACGGGUGAGUAACACGUGAGUAACCUGCCCUUGACUUUGGGAUAACUUCAGGAAACUGGGGCUAAUAACGGAUAGGAGCUCCUGCUGCAUGGUGGGGGUUGGAAAGUUUCGGCGGUUGGGGAUGGACUCGCGGCUUAUCAGCUUGUUGGUGGGGUAGUGGCUUACCAAGGCUUUGACGGGUAGCCGGCCUGAGAGGGUGACCGGCCACAUUGGGACUGAGUUACGGCCCAGACUCCUACGGGAGGCAGCAGUGGGGAAUAUUGCACAAUGGGUGGAAGCCUGAUGCAGCAACGCCGUGUGCGGGAUGACGGCCUUCGGGUUGUAAACCGCUUUCGCUCAUGACGAAGCUUUGUGUGACGGUAGUGGGUAAAGAAGCACCGGCUAACUACGUG
rnacentral:rRNA from 1 species